rnacentral:rRNA from 1 species
CCUACGGGUGGCUGCAGUGGGGAAUAUUGGACAAUGGGCGAAAGCCUGAUCCAGCCAUGCCGCGUGUGUGAAGAAGGCCUUCGGGUUGUAAAGCACUUUCAGUGGGGAAGAAAGCCUUGGGGCUAAUACCCUCGAGGAAGGACAUCACCCACAGAAGAAGCACCGGCUAACUCCGUGCCAGCAGCCGCGGUAAUACGGAGGGUGCGAGCGUUAAUCGGAAUUACUGGGCGUAAAGCGCGCGUAGGCGGUCUGAUAAGCCGGUUGUGAAUGCCCCGGGCUCAACCUGGGAACGGCAUCCGGAACUGUCAGGCUAGAGUGCAGGAGAGGAAGGUAGAAUUCCCGGUGUAGCGGUGAAAUGCGUAGAGAUCGGGAGGAAUACCAGUGGCGAAGGCGGCCUUCUGGACUGACACUGACGCUGAGGUGCGAAAGCGUGGGUAGCAAACAGGAUUAGAUACCCCUGUAGUC